CUUUCCUCCCAUCAGAAAAUUACUCAAAAAGGGAGUAUUUAAAGGAAACUCAAAUCAGGAGAACCCGGUUGAAAAUGAAGCUCAGAGAAAAUAAGCAAACACCUGUCACUGCUUCCUGCUUCAAAUGAGCUGCAUCGCUGAGGCAUCCUUGUCUCUUUCCACUGUACCCUCACUUCCCCAGUCACAUGCCAUUAACUGGUUAUGCAGGACCAGCCUCUAGAGUCAGCAGGCCAUCGUUUAAAAGUCAUGGCACCAUCAGCAAAUACUUUUAAACUCUCGGAGCGGCAACAAUUUCCUCAUCAGUAAAGUGUGAACUAAGCACAUACCCUCAGGACUAUUCUAAGGUGUCACUGUGAUGAUGAAACUAAAGCAACCAACUUGGACUCAGUUGGGGGUGACAUGGAUGUUUUCCUUACAGUAACUUAUUAAACUGUACAUACGU
rnacentral:lncRNA from 10 species